AUUGAACGCUGGCGGCAGGCCUAACACAUGCAAGUCGAGCGAGCGGCGGACGGGUGAGUAAUGUAUGGGGAUCUGCCCGCUAGAGGGGGAUAACUACUCGAAAGACUGUCUAAUACCGCAUACUAUUGGAGCUGCCGAUAUCUGAGUAGCUAGUGGGGGGGGUAAAGGCUCACCAAGGCAAGGAGCCGUAGCUGGUUUGAGAGGACGACCAGCCACACUGGAACUGAGACACGGACCAGACUCCUACGGGAGGCAGAAGUGGGGAAUUUUGGACAAUGGGGGAAACCCUGAUCCAGCCAUGCGGCGUGUAUGAUGAAGGCCUUCGGGUUGUAAAGUACUUUUGGCAGAGAAGCGGUAUUUGCAGAAUAAGCACCGGCUAACUACGUGCCAGCAGCCGCGGUAAUAC
rnacentral:rRNA from 1 species